GGCGAGAUAGCUCAGCUGGCUAGAGCACACGGUUCAUACCCGUGUUGUCGUGGGUUCAAGUCCCUCUCUCGCUA
rnacentral:tRNA from 1 species